rnacentral:rRNA from 1 species
UACGUAGGGUGCAAGCGUUGUCCGGAAUUAUUGGGCGUAAGAGCUCGUAGGCGGUCUGUCGCGUCUGCUGUGAAAACUCGGGGCUUAACCCCGGGCCUGCAGUGGGUAUCGGGCAGACUAGAGUGCGGUAGGGGAGACUGGAUUCCUGGUGUAGCGGUGAAAUGCGCAGAUAUCAGGAGGAACACCGGUGGCGAAGGCGGGUCUCUGGGCCGUAACUGACGCUGAGGAGCGAAAGCAGUGGGGAGCGAACAGG